CACACACACACACCGAUAGGAAUACUACAAACGAGUGUGGUGGAUUCUCAGACUUGUGGUGGGCUACAAAGCCACAAAAAGCACACCAGCAACAUGUUGACUGCAGCUGCUGCAAAAUUGCAUUUUGCAAAAACGCACACACACACACACAUACAGUGUUGACUUCAAGAAAGAGAGGUCUUUAUGGGGUCAGAGGGAGAGGGCGAAUAUAUAUGUAUGUAUUUUUUUUUUUUUUUACUUUCUGCCUACCAAAAGUUGCCGUCGACGCCGACGUUUGCGAAUGUGUUGCGCUGCGGUGCGAGUGGCUUUUUUAGCCGCCAGUUGCCAAUUGCCGCAUUCGCUAUUCGGCUUUGAAGCCGCUCGGGUUGCCAAAAGAACAGUUAGCCCAAGCAAUUCUCCGGAGAAUCGAGAAGAGAUUCUCCUGGGAAACGAACUCGUGCCCGCCUCUAACCGUACGUUCUUUUUUAACCCAGUUAAGUUAACUUUAUCAGAACUUUUCCUCAACUCGUGUGUUUUUUCCUGUGAAAUAAAAAACCAAAUUUAGAUUUUCGCAAGCAUAACCAACAAGCAUUUUCCGGCAGUGUACUUGUGUUUGUGCCGUCCAGUGUCUGUGCGAUUGCCAAUGUUUUUUGCGGCCUCUCAGCUUCGGUUUCUUGUGGAAAAUCACAACAACGACUUCUGGCACUGGGCAACGCAAAAAGGCAGACGACGACAACGACGACGUCAAAAGUCUCUCGUACUCUCGUACUCAUUUCUUCUUGCCUCGAAAAAGACAGACCUCUCAGACCCCACAGAGCUGGAGAGAACUGGAAGACCCCGAAGACAAACCAAAAAGGAGAGACUCUUGUGGAGCCGCAAAGCAAGGCAAAGCAACAUGUUGCACAUGCACUCGCCUAAAAGCAAUUUGCAUACAAAUGUUGCCAACGCACUUCAAAAACUGCACAAUCACAGGGGGUUUUCUUUAGGGGUUUCCGGAGGGGUGGUGGUGUGCUGCAGCGGCAAAGAAGGGUAAAAGCCGCUUCAUAAUUUGAUAUUAAACAUGCACGCGUCUCUCCUUCUCUGUUCCGCUUAUGUCGAUGCAACUUGUAAAUUUGCAAAUUGCUGAAAUGCAUGACAGGAUGAGGAGUAUCUAAAAGGGGCGGGGGGUGGAGGGGAGGGGUAGUCCUACGGGCAGCUGCGUGAAUUUGCAUUUACAUCAAGGAACCGCAGGACAGGAAAAGGACAGUAAAAAGUUAACCGAAAAUUCAGCCUCGCAAGGAAACUGAAUAAAAAAGCGAGGUCUGGCUCAAUUGACUUUCAAUUGCAAAACAAACCUAAUGCACUGGCAGAAAAGUGGGUCAAUAAGAAUGCUUUAUUUUGUGAUUUAUUAAAGAAAACAAAGAGGUUAUCACUGGAAAGAGUGCCAGCUUCCAUUCCUAAUAACUUUCCUGUACUUAAAAGUUGAAAAUUUAAAAACAAGAAGCUAGAAUUUACUACUUGAAAAAGUUUUUCAAACCUUCGGGCCAUAACUCAAAUACAUUUCUCUCAGUGCUCUCCUUUUUGAAUACAAAAGACAAGCCCAAAUGAAUUUAUUUUCAAUUUUAUUUUCAAUCUGCUUUUCGUCCGUCAUAUGAUUGACAUGGUCGAUUGAACUGCUGGCAAGCCAGCGAGCCAGCGAGCGAGCGAGGGAGUGGAACGAUACACAUAUCGUUUAUUUUUGGCAGCAAGUGUUUGCCUUCGGUUUGCAGUUUUGUUAAUACUGCACUCGAAGAUGCCCGCCCGAGAGACACCUCCUCCACUUGCCCAAAAGAUUCGAAAAGGGCACUCGAAAACAAGAUCUUCGCCGUCUUAAUAAGCUGGCAUACACACUUUUUAUAUCAGAUUCAUACACGCAAUUAUAUGUACUCAAAUUCCAAGAUAUAUAUAUAUAUAUCAACGUGGGUAUAUAAAUCAUAUUUAUGAGACAUUUCCCCUGGAGGAAAAAGAGAAAAUACGGAAAAACAUGUGAAUGUUAAAUAGGCACGCAAUGUGCAAAAGGGAUGGCAGGAAAAUGCGUCACUCUUCCCCCAUUUCCCUCAGACUUUUCCUUAACGAAGGAAAACAAUAAUCAAUAAGUAAUACCACUGUGUGUUGGGAAAGUCACCCUCGAUUUAUCCAUAUUUUCCUCCCUCUCAUUGCCCGCCGCUCAUAUGUGUGUUACAAUUUCUGCUGCCUUUUCGCCUGGGUAGUUCAUAACUUUUCUCUCCUGUCUGUGUGUGUGGUGGUUUUUUCUUGGUUCUUGGCCAGGACUUUAGGCGUUUGACAGCCAUGUUUGUCCUUCACAUAUACACCACACAAACUCACACAUGAUUGUUGUAGGCGUCGCCUUGUGGCACCCCCAAAAAAAUACCUAUAAGGAAAAAGUGUUGCGGAAAAGUGUGCCACCAACUUUUUGCCCGAAAAAAAAAGUUUGUCUGCUGACACAGAUCUGUGUGUGUAUGAGCGAGAUAGGUAACUUAAGCUUCAGACUCUGGCUCUCUCUUUUGCUCUGAAUGUAGGCAAAAAAAGGAAACUAAUAGGUUUGGGAAAAUUAGUCUUUUAUGCUUUUUUUUUACAAUAAUUAUCACAACUUUAAAUAUUGGUACUGGUAAUUAUCUUUAAUAUUUUUAAUGACACUUAUAAAAUCGUUUUAAAACAUAGAAUUAUCAUAUUAAGAGGUGUAUAAUUUGUAAAUUAACUUUAAAUAAUUAUGCAAUAUUUAUUUAUGAAUUUUAUUCUAAGCUUUCUCUCUCUAAAAAGCACUUAAAUUGGAUUUUAAACUCUUUUAUCGACAAAAAUAAUUUCUAAAAAUAUUAAAAAUCAGCCAAAAUAUUUAUAAAGUAUAAAAAAUACUUUACUAUCUUUCGAAAAAACUUCCGAAAUUUUCCAUCAACAACAUCCAUGAAACAGACCUUUUUUGGCUGGCCAAAGAGUUACCAAAAACAGAAACAAAUUUGAAAAAUUUGGUUAAACUUCGGGUUCGUUUUAGGCCCAGCUGAUUUAUUGUCAUAAAUUUCAUUGAAAUUCAUGAGACUCUUGGAUGAACCUCAAAAAUGUAAAAAAAAAUAAUAAGAGAGAAACAGGGCGUGGCCUAAAUGAUGUGUGUGUGUGUGUGCGUAUGUUGCUGCGCCUACGCAAUAUGCCUCUAAAAAGAUUUAUUUGAAUGGAACGAAGGGAAAUUAUAAUAUUUUCCAACUUCUAUUAUUGAAAAAGAAAUAUAAAAGAAAUAAGUUAGAAGAAGAAAUCUGUGGGGAGAUUAUGAAAAGAGCUGUUGAUGUAUGAAUUGUAUGGGGCCCUCUCAUAAAUCUACGGGGCCCUGUCAAGGUGUCCAAUACUAUUUUGUGUGUUGUUGUUGUUACUCUUGUUGUUGUUGCUGUUGUGCUCAAGUGGCAGUCAUAAAUUUGAAAUUUAUGUUCAUCUCUCGUUUGGAUUUUGUUCCCACUUUUCUUUGUUGUUGUCCAUUUACCAUUUUUUUUUGUCGGUUUUGGUCAAGAGAACCUGCCACAAAGCAAAGUUCUUUACUCGCUUGUUAAUUAAAUGCGAUUGCAUCAUCGCAUCUCUCAGCUGCCGAUCUCUAUAGUAACAGUCGGGGUAAAGAUAAUAGUGCUUGGAUACAAUUUUGCCAGAAAGUUUCUUUACUUUUUUCUAUCUAACAUUUUCCAUGCAGUUAAAAAUCAUUUUAAAUUCUUUUUGAAGCAUUUUUUUUGGGUAAAUCUAAUUUCCAUAUUGUUAACCCUCAUUGUUGAUAUCUUUUAUCAAGCUAUGACUGGACAGAAAUUGUCGCUAAUCGCUGCUCAUGUACCCCAAGACAUGACGCAUUUGUCUUUGUCUUUUUCUUUCGGCUUUGCCGGCUUUGACACAUUUUUCUUAUGAAUUUUCUGUAUUUUCUGUAUUUUUCCCCAACUCACUAAUUUUUCGUGGCGUGUUUGUUCUGACCGCCAAAAUUGCUUGUCCAACAUUUGUUGGACAUGUUUUUGUACUUUGGUUCGGCUUUUUUAAUGUUUUUUUGUUGUUGUUCAGUUUGGAACAUACAAACUACACGCAAGUGCGGAAGAUUUUUAGGCAGAUCCGUUAAACAUCAAAAUCAACUCUUUCAAGCUCAUUAAACAGUCAGUGGGGAACACAGCGCCAGCAACAACAAUAAAGUUAUGGAAUAAAGCCAAAAGUUGACCUUCAAAAAACGCAACGCAACCAAGCGAAAAUGGCAAAAAAAAAAAAAAAAAAAAAAAAAAAAAGGGAAAAAACAUAAUACUAAAAAUAACAAAAGUCAGAGCUGCUUGGAAACAGGUUGUUGAAUCGCUCUCUCUAUUGUUAACAUUUUUUUAUUAUGCUUUUUUUUCAAGCGGAAAGCAGCAAAAGCCCCGAAACUCUUGCAUUUUUACGAUUAUUUACGAUUCGAAUUCAUUUCUCUGGCGAUUUUUGACCUUGCAGUUGUUGCACUUAACACGUGCCAGAAAUUAAUAAUGAAAGAGCGUGUUUUCAGGUGUUAAUCACACGGCGGGCUGUACGAACAAAAAACAACCGAAAAAAGCAGAUAUGGCCAGCUAAAAAAAAAACAGUCUUAAAAGGCGCCAAAAAUAUUUCGACGACGAACAAAAAAUAACAUUUACAAACUAGAAAGGAAAUUGAUUUCCAAAAACCGAAUCUUUCAUGCUCUUUUGGUAGGAAGAAAAGGUUAAAGAGUAGAAAUCAACCAACCAUGUCACGGCUUUUAGAAGUUGCAAGUUAGGCUUACGCUGCAGAGUAGUUGUUGUAAGGAAAAUAUAAUACAGCGAGGAAAACUUACAUAAAUAUAUUCCUAAAUGAUCUUGUAAAUCUAUCUAUCAAAAAACUGGAAAUAUUCUGAGCUUUAAGUAUGAUUCUCCCCCUGAAAAACAGAAUCUUCCAACAAUCCCGAUAACAGAUUACAAAAUAUCAAAUCAUCUUUAUCUCUUAAAGUAUUAUAACUGCUUAUUAAACUACCGUUUAAAGUUAUAGUACCCUGUAAUACUCUCAGAUACAAAAUAUUCUACUCAUAAAUGGUCGUUUGCCGCGAUGACGAAGAGUUUGCCUAUUGUAGAUCUUUAUUUGCCCGUUGCUUUUGUUGCUUUUGUUGUGGCCACUUCAAAAGUCGUGUGCGAGUUCUUGUUGUUGUUGUAUAUCGCUUGUUUACUUUUACGGUAAAUACGAAAAGCAAGACCAACAACAAAAACAACAACGAGGACUACAAAAAUGCGCGCGCUCGUCGCGCGUAUCUAGAUAAAUAUCUGUGAAAAUACACUUGAGGCCAAGCUACUGUACAUACGCACGGCAACUGCUAUGCCGGCAGCGACGUCAACUGAGAUAGGCCUAGGACACAGUGGGGAGCAUUAAAAUGGGAAAGGUUUUCUAUGAAGGUUCUUAAAAGGUAUUUUAAAUGUUUUGCUUAAAAAGUUUAAUAUUAUUACUCUAAAAGUUAAUAGCUCAAAUGUUAGUACAAGCUAAAACAUUAUUUUUAAUUUAAAAUUAAACUCAGCUUCAUUUAUUUUCAGUGUUAUAAGAAAAAACUUCUUCAGAACUCCCUAUAAUUUCCUCUCAGAAUCUUUCGAAGCUCUCAGUUUUUCGCCCUUAGCUGUUUUUUGUUUGUUGCUGCUUUUUUUUUUGCUCCAGCGAAGGCAACGACCAAGAACAACAACAACAACAACGAAAGGCAGCGGCAGCAGCAACAACAAGCGAUGACGAUGCCGCGCAAAAAACAAUCGUAAACAGAUCAUCGAACUCCGUGGCUCUGUUGUUGCUGUUGUUUGCUGCCGUUGGCCUUGAAAUGCUUUUUAGAUUUCAAACACACUUUUUUCUCAGUGCAAGCCUUUUUUGGCUCAAAACUUUUUAAUUGUUUCAUUAAUUAAAAGAAGCAUUUGUUUUUGUUUUCGUAUCUUUUUCUAUUUCGCCUUUUUGGUGAUAUUAAUUGAGUUGAAAACGCGUGCGGCGCCCACGCGGCAAGCAGCGACGUUGGCGUCGACGCUGACAGAGCGGCUUUCACCGCUGCUUGCGUCAUGUUGGGCCACAAAGCUACACGGCGGCAAAGCAACAAAAAUAUGCAGUUUAUGUGUGAGUAUGGGUGUGUUUUUGAGCGCCAGUAUGUGUGUGUGUGUGUGCAUUGCAGCCGCUACAAGUGGGCAAUUUCACCACCGUUUGGAAAACCACCACCGCAGCAAAGAAACCCACCAUGGCAGCGACGCCGACAGCGACCAACCACAAAACCGCGUGCUUUUCUGUUUUCAGUUUUCCGUUUUAGUCGCCAAACGACUCUCAAAACCGAAGGUUGCAAAACGCGGAUAAAAAUUUAGCCGAUUUACUAAGUACAAAAAUUUAAAAAUACGAAAUUUAUUAGAAUUUUUAAGGAAAAGUAACAAAAACUUGGACAAAUUUUGUUUUAAAAAAUCAUAGAACACCCGGUUUUCAGUGUUAAUUUUACCCUUUAAAGGUUCUUAAUAAAAGAGAACGAAAAACUGGAAUUACUUGAUCGGUCGGCUAAAGUCGCUUAUAUACGCGCGUGUGUGUGUAUUUGUGCUGCACUUGUAGCGCUGCUUACGUGCACAAGUGAACGUCGACGCGUUUUCUAAUCUGGCGAUUAUCGAUUGAUAGCGAUAAGCCGCAGUCGACGUCAGCGCUGGCAGCGGCUGCAACACGCACACUAAGAAAAACAGGAGAAACCCGUAAAAAUACACUUAACGAAAAAACAUAGAAACUUCAAUAGAUGCGCGCGAAGUUUCUGCGCGCGUUUAAAGUCGCGCGAUCGAAAAACCUACGCUCGGCCGCAGUCGACGCCGCUGCCGGCUGCCUUCAGUCGCAGUCGCUGCCUCUGCCACUGCCGCUGCCAACGUCGACGUCGAACAUCGCCGCAUUUCGAGUUAUUUUCUGCGCGACUUCGCUGCGUUUUUUUCACUUCGGUUUCGGAGCUCCAAAGUCGCGCAUCAAACGCUCGCAAAUCGCUUCGUGUUUUCGCAUUCGCGUGACUUGACAAAAAAUUCGUAAAAAUUUUCAAAAACAUUUUACUAGUGUCGUAAAAUAUGGAAAUAUAUUAAAAUAACGGACUAAAUAAAAGAAAUGAAAAUUAAAAUGA